rnacentral:rRNA from 1 species
GUUAUAGGGUCAAGUGAAUAAGAGCAUGUGGUGGAUGCCUUGGCGAUGAUAGGCGACGAAGGACGUGAUAGCCUGCGAUAAGCUUCGGGGAGCUGGCAAAUAAGCUUUGAUCCGGAGAUUUCCGAAUGGGGAAACCCACCGAAAGGUAUCGUUAACUGAAUUCAUAGGUUAACGAGGCGAACCGGGUGAACUGAAACAUCUCAGUAGCUCGAGGAAAAGACAUCAACCGAGAUUCCGAAAGUAGUGGCGAGCGAAAUCGGAACCAUAGUGGGUGAUAGCCCCGUAUGUGAAAAGAUCUGUGUGGUACUGAGCUAGCGAAAAGUAGGGCGGGACACGUGUAAUCCUGUCUGAACAUGGGGGGACCAUCCUCCAAGGCUAAAUACUCAUCAUCGACCGAUAGUGAACUAGUACCGUGAGGGAAAGGCGAAAAGAACCCCGGGAGGGGAGUGAAAUAGAUCCUGAAACCGCAUGCUUACAAAAAGUCGGAGCCCGCAAGGGUGACGGCGUACCUUUUGUAUAAUGGGUCAGCGACUUACAUUCAGUGGCAAGGUUAACCGAAUAGGGAAGCCGUAGAGAAAUCGAGUCCGAAUAGGGCGUUCAGUCGCUGGGUGUAGACCCGAAACCAAGUGAUCUAUCCAUGGCCAGGAUGAAGGUGCCGUAACAGGUACUGGAGGUCCGAACCGACUAGUGUUGCAAAACUAGCGGAUGAGCUGUGGAUAGGGGUGAAAGGCUAAACAAACUUGGAAAUAGCUGGUUCUCUCCGAAAACUAUUUAGGUAGUGCCUCAAGUAUUACCUUCGGGGGUAGAGCACUGUUUUGGCUAGGGGGUCAUGGCGACUUACCAAACCAAGGCAAACUCCGAAUACCGAAGAGUACAGCUUGGGAGACAGAGCACCGGGUGCUAACGUCCGGACUCAAGAGGGAAACAACCCAGACCGCCAGCUAAGGUC